rnacentral:scRNA from 1 species
CUGCAUUUAGCCUCCUAAAUGAAAAGGUAGAUAGAACAGGUUGUUUGCAAAAGAAACCCAAGACCUACUUAUCUACCAACAGCA